rnacentral:misc_RNA from 1 species
CAUGAUCGGCGGCACCAGCAGGAACAACUGCUCGAAGGCCGCCGGAGCCGCGAUGGAGCGAACCGCGCACCAUGCGAUCACCACGGCCAUCACAUGAAUCAGCAAUGAGAGGACGGCAACUUUCGGUCCGCUGCUGCGGUUGAAGAUCACCUGAUUGGCGAUCACCGCGCAGGCAUGAAUGUGGCGCAGCGGCCAGAGGGUCUUGAGCCAGUU